CAGCUCCAGAGGUUUUCCAUGUGUCUGACAGAUAUAGCACUCAAGAUUCUCCAGAGGAUCAAUCAGUUUGUGUUUCUUUAAAUGUGCAACUCUCUGAUGAGGCUCCAGGCUGGACAAUUGCAGGUCUGAGUGUUGUUCCAGCACUGGUUCAGGCAGCUCUUACAGAAGUUGUGUCCACAUGGAGUGCUGACUGGAUCAGUUAACAAAUCCAUACAGAUCGAGCACUUGAGCUCCUCUGAGAGAGGACCUCUGGGGAAUGACAGAGCUGUAGAGAAAGAUGAAGGAUAAUUUAUCUCCUAACUGAUAAAUGCAAAGUGAAUGAUUAAAUCUAGAAUAAAAACUCAUCAACAAUCACCGGUUACUAACAUAAUGGUGGUUCAUCCAGACUCCUUCUCCUGACCUCAGUUGGUUUUUGUGAUGCUGAUGAAGAUUGUGCCAUCACUCUUAAUUCCCUUUUUUAAUUCUGUUCACAGUAAACACAGACAUAUCUCAUAAAAUAUGACCA